rnacentral:misc_RNA from 1 species
GCGGGAGGAAGACGAGGUCACGUGACUGAGAGAGACGUCAUGCCGUGUUCCUUCUCCUUUGCCGGUCUCCGAGGACCGCUCUGCUUGUACCUGUCAGAUGUCUUCUCCUGCUUUCUCUACGGCUACUGUCAAGCAUUCCACGAUAAGCUCUUGGCACAGUGUCAGGGGCAACUAUUAGACGAACAAAAGAGUGAGUUUGGGCAGAUUUGGAGGUUGGAUAUUAUUCGGCAAGUUUGUGGGUGGUGGCGGUGGUUGAUUUGUUGGGCCAGUUCGUUGGAGUACGGUAUGUACAAGAGCAUACAAGUUGGGGCGUUUGCGGUGUCUGAAAGCAGUGGUGGGUUUACUACCAGAAGGCGCCAUCAUACGCCAAGCUACAGUACUUGUAGGAAUGGACUCCAACCGUCUUUCGACUUGCUCUUUUCUGGAGCAAUUUCUAACCGAGACAUAAUUUCGGUAUUGCUUGCAUCCCAUACUGUACUGUACAGUAUUGAAUACGAAUGAGCACGAUAUGAAGCCGAUAUGACACGAUAACUCAACAAAUACACAUGACAACAAUGUGCGGGUUCAGUCGACACGGUCAAUUACAGCAUUGUGCAAGUUUCCUGUACUCCUACCCUCAAGAAACGACCUUGUCACCACUCGGCCUCCUCCUCCAGACCACCAAGCUCAUCGGUCCCUCACACCUCCAGACCACCAAGCUCAUCAGACCAACCGAUGCACUCUAAACGGCGCUAAAAGGGCACUAAGGCAACUCACACUUUAACACUCACCCUAACUGCCACGCUGGAUGCAAGGUUCGGCGAUGAUCAAGGCUAUUAAGUGGGAUGAGAUGUUGGGCUUGGAAAAUGGCAACAAACAAAAGCCGUUAGCGAAUACGGCGGCAGUGUGCGGAAAUGGGCAGUUUUUGUUUGUGUGCGAGAUUGGCGGAUUUGUGCGAGAUUGGCGUGAUUCUGCGAUUCCAAUGUCCGCGUAUCGCCCCUCCCCGUCUUGUGGCAUUCACAUGAUCACGUCAAUGUCACCCGUCCCGUCCAGAUGUAACCUGUGUCAGCGCCUCAGUAUAUUUUUUUAGACUAAUUUCUAGAAUUGUGUCAAGGCGGAAAUUUAGGGUUAGGACAGAGGGAGCCGAGACGCAUCUUUACUUUGGCCAGAGCAAGCGAUCAAUGGGCUAUUAGGCGGGGAAAAGGGGGUUUUUUGGACGUUUUGUUGUCAUUUCCGUGUCGUCUAAGUGAUUGCGAGCUUUUUUGCGCCCGUUUUGUCCGGUAUUCUGCCCGUUAGAGGCCCCUUUUGCCAUUUAUCUGUCCUACACUUCCCACCAAGACUCUAAAUAUAAAGCCAGUAGACUAGUUACUUUUUCUAACGGCGUUUCCACGAGCCGAGGCCCGUUGCGACAAGACCCCAGCUCCACCGCCGCACGCCAACGCCUUGGGCACGUGUUGAGCAGUGAGCGCUCUGAUGACUCGGCCGUCCCGUCCACGUCUCUCUGCUUAUUCAGCUGGUGCAAACGGGGCUUGCAAACCCCCCGAAUGCACGAUCGGCAGCCGGAGAUUUGGCCCUAUCCAAACAAGGCGACAGACAAGGAGCCUCGGCUGAUAAAGCGGAUAAAGCGGGCAGUGAAGAAUGCAGAUUUUCGAGCGUGCGGUAUCGCGGCAUGCAGGAGAAGCCGAAAAGACGCACAUGUCGGAGCUCUCGAUGCACAACUUGACCCGUGGUUAUUUUUAGCUGCCACGAGCGAUGGUUAAGGCGAUGGUGUUUGCGGAAGCGAAGGAAGCGAGAUGUGGAGGAUUGUUAACAAAGUUGACGUACCUAGUACGCCUAUAUACAAAGAACAAGACAUUAU